rnacentral:rRNA from 1 species
CCUACGGGGGGCAGCAGUAGGGAAUAUUGCUCAAUGGGGGAAACCCUGAAGCAGCAACGCCGCGUGGAGGAUGAAGGUUUUCGGAUUGUAAACUCCUUUUGUUAGAGAAGAUAAUGACGGUAUCUAACGAAUAAGCACCGGCUAACUCCGUGCCAGCAGCCGCGGUAAUACGGAGGGUGCAAGCGUUACUCGGAAUCACUGGGCGUAAAGCGCGCGUAGGCGGGAUAGCAAGUCAGAUGUGAAAUCCUAUGGCUUAACCAUAGAACUGCAUUUGAAACUGUUAUUCUAGAGUAUGGGAGAGGUAGGUGGAAUGCUUGGUGUAGGGGUAAAAUCCGUAGAGAUCAAGAGGAAUACUCAUUGCGAAGGCGACCUGCUAGAACAUAACUGACGCUGAUGCGCGAAAGCGUGGGGAGCAAACAGGAUUAGAUACCCCGGUAGUC